UUUUAGUUUAUAUUUAAUCGCAGUCGUGGCAAGAGUGAAAUUGGUCGUCGGUCGUGCUCGUCGUUCGUCUCCGAGGCAAGGAAAAGGGCGCUUUGGUUGCGGUUUGGAUCUCUGUUUUUCGGUGAAGUUUUAGCAAAUAUUGGGGACUGUUUCUAAAAAAGUUUUUUGUGUUGAUCGAUUGAAUCUGCGUUGCUUGAGCAAGAUUUUGGUGGGCUCCUCAGGUGCUUCUGCAUUGUUACCAAUCGUGGGAGAUUAGCCGUGGAAACCUGUUGAGUGGUUUGUCUCGUUUGUACUGGAAGGUUCUUAAAGUGCAGAUCUUCUAGAUCAGUUCCGCAAAAAGAUAUAAAUCCAGUGAUCAAAAGGCGCUACAGCGGAGUUGCACAGGUCGAACUCGGAAUACCCAAGGCAAGAGGAAAAAUCUAGGUUCCGUUGAACCACCAGCAGUACCGCCGUUGCCCAUAUUAUGUCCAACUCCUACGCGACGACCGGAUCCAGACCGACCUCACGAUGGAAGCGCUUCAUAAAAUCCAACCUGCUCACCUUCCUCACAGUGAUCGGGGUGUUCGGUGGAACGACCCUGGGUCUUAUGCUCAAAAACUCCUCCGAACCAUGGACGCAACGUGAAGUGAUGUACAUCCAGUAUCCGGGAGAUCUGUUCCUACGGAUGCUGAAGUGUCUGAUCGUGCCGCUGCUGGUGUCGUCCAUUACGAGUGCCAUCGGAUCGCUGGAUCUGAGCAUGUCUAAGAAGAUCGCCUUCCGGGCUAUCAUCUACUACUUCACGACGACGAUCUGUGCCGUAGUGCUGGGCAUCAUUCUGGUCAGUACGAUAAGGCCCGGCGCCGGUCGGGAUGUGGGCAGCAUGCAGGGCAAAGCAGCCACACGCCAAGUGCUCACCGCCGAUACGCUUCUAGAUUUAGUACGGAAUCUUUUCCCUCCGAACAUCAUUCAAGCUACCAUGUUCCAGUAUCGAACGAUUCUAGUCGCACCAGCAAAUGCAACUGGCGUUCCCCUGCAGCAGUACAAGAUCACUAACGAAUUCACCGAGGGCACCAAUGUGCUUGGUCUGGUGAUGUUCAGCGUCAUCCUGGGGGCCUGCAUUGGUAAGAUGCGCGAAGCCGGCAAGCCCCUGCAGGCGUUGUUCGAAACGCUGAGCGAAGCGAUGAUGAUCAUCACCUCCUGGGUCAUUUGGAUCUCACCGAUCGGUGUCUUCUUCCUGGUGGCCGCUAAGCUACUCGAGAUGGCAUCGUUCGUUGAGGUGCUCGGUCAACUCGGUUGGUACUUUAUGACGGUAAUGCUAGGGCUGGCUCUGCACGGAUUCGGUACAAUCUCCGUCAUCUUCUUCAUGACUACGCGGAAGCUUUCGUUCCCCUACAUUGCCAAGAUGAGUCAGGUGUUGGCCACCGCAUUCGGUACCGGGUCCAGCUCGGCCACCAUGCCCAUCACGAUCCGGUGUUUGGACAACAUGGGUAUCGAUCCGCGUGUUACCCGAUUUGUGAUCCCCGUAGGAGCCACGAUCAACAUGGACGGAACUGCCCUGUACGAAGCCGUGGCCGCCCUGUUCAUUGCCCAGCUCAGAAAUAUCCCUCUAUCUUUCGGUCACAUCGUUGCCGUAAGUGUAACAGCUACGGCCGCCUCGAUCGGAGCCGCCGGUAUUCCGCAAGCCGGUUUGAUUACCAUGGUCAUGGUGCUGGAUACCGUUGGUCUACCAGCCGAAGAUGUCACCAUUAUCAUCGCGGUAGAUUGGCUGCUGGAUCGAUUCCGAACAACGAUCAACGUGAUGUGUGAUGCGCUGGGUACGAUUCUGGUCAAUGCUCUGUCCAAGAGUGACCUGGCAGCAACGCCGAACGAAAUUCGAACUCACUAAAUGGAAAAAAAACUAUUUGUUUGCAAUGCUAUUGUUAGUUGAUAGAUGGUUUUAAUAGGACGCCGAACCACAUGAACUAGUUGAACUGCGACAAGAUUGCAACGAGAAGGAAUAGGAACCGAUAGGAUCGCCUCCAGGUUAAUUAUCGUAGAAAUUUGAAGGAAUAAAAAAGAUCAAACGCGGACUCUUCUCAUUUCCCCUACCUUAUUCAACACCGAACACCUUGCAGUUCUCGUGCGAAACUCUCGUUCAAGGGACAGGUUUACUUCGAGUGUCAUAACGCGAGCAUGAAGAAGUCUACGUGCCAGGAUGGAAUAUUAAGGAGCAAACUGACCGCCAAAAACCUUCUAAGUGUUUGGACAAACCGAAUAAAAAUCCUCAAUAGACCUUAUCUCAAACGUAACGAGGUAUACAGAGCCACUCGAAAUAAAACCACACGAUCCACCCUCGAAUUCACGCAGAAUUAAAAUGUAUGUGUAAAUGUUACCUGUUCAAAGUGUUUGGAUUUGCUCAUUGGAGGGUAUUUGUGUGCGCUAAAACUAAAAGUAGGUAAAAUCAAACAUCCAAGAUCAGGGUUUUCCCCCAAGGGGAUGGUGUUGCCAUCAUCGUUGUUCGUUAGUGUUAGGGUCCAUAGUUGUUAAACCAAAGUAGCUUUUAGAACCCCGAGCAAACAGGAAAGCCAUUAUAAGAACAAGAGAAAAAAAUGUUAAGCAUUACCAGAUUGGAUAACAAUAUAUUCUACCUUGUAGGACUUGCUCUGCAAAGCGUGUUUAGUGUGUGUGAUUUUGUGUAUCACUUUCAAAAAUUAACAUAGGAAAGCGAGGAGAUAUUUAUAGUCCAAAGACUAAAGCAAACAAACAAGCAAUUGUCGACUAGAGAAAAAAACCGAAUUUGACGAGAACAUUGCUGAAUAAGUUCUAUGAAUGCAUUACAAUCAGAUUUUUUACGAGCUUAAGUCUAACAUAGCCCUACUAUUUUAAUUGUAUUACAACUACUUACAAAUAUAUUUUAAUUACUAAUCUUUUGUACAUUAUUUCUUUUUUCGUCAAUUUUUGUUGAAUUCGAACUAGAGUUAUAUGUGUUCUACGUUUACAUUAUUAACAAUACUUAUUAAGGUACACCUUUCUACAAAUCCCGGAUAAGUUGUAGUUUUUGAAACUGCAUAAAACUGCCAUGUGCUUGAUGAGUUAUCCGAAUGCAUUUUAAUCAAAAUUAUUCUGGUCAAAAACGAAAAGAACUUUGAAGUAUUGAUAUUAACAGGUCAAUGACCUCCAAAAGCUAACUAUCAUAAUUGGAUUUAUGUCAUGUUUACCUGUAACACUCUAACAUUUUGAAGAAUAUAGUAGUUUAAAAACAAACAGAAAACCAGGACCAAAUUUAUAAAUACCGGGAAUACGGAUUCAAAAUUACCACAAACGACAGGUGUGAACGCAAAAACGCAAACCUAAUGAAGUGUUUCAAUUGUCA